rnacentral:tRNA from 1 species
GCCGGCCUGGCUUCAAUGGCAAAAGCAGCUGCCUGGUACGCAGCAGAUAGAGAUUCGAAUCCUCUGACCGUCCCCA